rnacentral:rRNA from 1 species
UACGGAGGGUGCGAGCGUUGUCCGGAAUCAUUGGGCGUAAAGCGCACGUAGGCGGUUCUUUAAGUCUCAUGGUGAAAGGCUGGGGCUCAACCCCAAGCAAGCCGGGGAUACUGGAGGACUGGAGACAGGCAGAGGCCAGCGGAAUUCCGGGUGUAGCGGUGGAAUGCGUAGAGAUCCGGAAGAACACCGGAGGCGAAGGCGGCUGGCUGGGCCUGAUCUGACGCUGAGGUGCGAAAGCGUGGGGAGCGAACAGG